rnacentral:rRNA from 1 species
UACAGAGGUCUCAAGCGUUGUUCGGAUUCAUUGGGCGUAAAGGGUGCGUAGGCGGCGCGGUAAGUCGGGUGUGAAAUCUCGGAGCUUAACUCCGAAACUGCAUUCGAUACUGCCGUGCUUGAGGACUGGAGAGGAGACUGGAAUUUACGGUGUAGCGGUGAAAUGCGUAGAUAUCGAGAGGAACACCUGCGCGAAGGCAGCUUACUGGGCGUGUAACUGACGCUGAUGCACGAAAGUGUGGGGAUCAAACAGG